AGGUAGGGAUACCCGCUGAACUUAAGCAUAUCAAUAAGCGGAGGAAAAGAAACCAACAGGGAUUGCCUCAGUAACGGCGAGUGAAGCGGCAAAAGCUCAGAUUUGAAAUCUGGUGUUGUAUUGACGCCCGAGUUGUAAUCUGUAGAGGAGUUUUCGGAGUAUGACUUUGGUUAAAGUUCCUUGGAAAAGGGCAUCAUAGAGGGUGAGAAUCCUGUUUAUGACCUUAGUUCUUCUCUAUAUGAAUCUCCUUCAAUGAGUCGAGUUGUUUGGGAAUGCAGCUCUAAAUGGGUGGUAAAUUCCAUCUAAAGCUAAAUAUUGGCAAGAGACCGAUAGCGCACAAGUAGAGUGAUCGAAAGAUGAAAAGAACUCUGAACAGAGAGUUAAAGAGUACGUGAAAUUGUUGAAAGGGAAGCACUUGUGACCAGACAUAUUUGCAAUUAAUCAGCCAUCAAUUUUGGUGGUGCACUUGAUUGUAAGUGGGUCAGCAUCAGUUAUAGUAGUGGGACAAAGACCUAAAGAAUGUGGCUCCUCUUUGGAGGAGUGUUAUAGCUUUUGGUNUAAUACUGCUUGCUAUGACUGAGG
rnacentral:rRNA from 1 species